rnacentral:rRNA from 1 species
AGUGAACGCUGGCGGUAGGCCUAAUACAUGCAAGUCGAGCGGCCGCACAGUAAGAGUUUGCUCUUACGGGUGGCGAGUGGCGGACGGGUGAGGAGUACAUAGGAUUCUACUUUUUCGUGGGGGAUAUCGUAAGACAACUUCUGCUAAUACCGAAUACAUCCUACGGCUGAAAGCAGGGGAUCUUCGGAGCUUUCGCGAUUGAAUGAGCUGGGGCCGGAUUAGCUAGUUGGCGGGGUAAAGGCCCACCAAGGCAACGAUCCGUAGCUGGUCUGAGAGGAUGAUCAGCCACACUGGAACUGAGACACGGUCCAGACUCCUACGGGAGGCAGCAGUAGGGAAUAUUGGACAAUGGGCGCAAGCCUGAUCCAGCCAUACCGCGUGAGUGAUGAAGGCCUUCGGGUUGUAAAGCCCUGUUGUUGGGAAAGAAAAGCAGCGGAUUAAUACCCCGCUGUUCUGACGGUACCCAAAGAAUAAGCACCGGCUAACUUCGUG